rnacentral:tRNA from 1 species
GGGAAAGUGGUCUAAUGGUAGGGCACACUGUUGAUGAGUGGGAUGUGGGUUCGACUCCCGCCUUUUCCG